AUUACAUUAACAAUAGGUUUGUUUAAGGUAAACUGACUAUAGAUUGGAAAAACAUUUAGAAAUUUAGUAUAUUUUGUCUCAGAUACAGUAGCUUACAGAAAACAAGUAUAUCCAGACAAAGAGUAUCCGGUUUAUUAUUGCAUGUGGCUAUCGCAUGGUGACCUUCAAAUAUCCGGCAAUUUGUACUUCAACUUAAGAAACAAUAGUAAUAUAAGAAUGCUGUCUACGAGAGAACGAGUUGUAGAGACUUUGUGACCAUUGUGAACAAGAGUGGAUGGAGUCAGCUAUUCACAAAAAUGUGGUCUUUUGUAAAGUUUUCUAAUGCUUUGAUUAAAAAGCAAUGACUAAGGGCUUGUUUUUAUUUUUACUGCAAUCGGUUACCCCAAUACAUCCUACAGGAAAAAAUUUAAUGUUUACCAUAUUUAAAUAAAUUGAAGCAUUAAUGCCUAUUCAUGUGCAUGGUGUAUACAAUUUAAUAAAUAACUGUGAAAUGUAGCAAAUCAGGUAAGCCGGCAAUGGGG